rnacentral:lncRNA from 1 species
GUCAGGGUUUGAUCUCAGUCUGACACCACAGUCAAAGUUUUAAAGCUCUGUGCCAUGCUGCCAGGAUUCUUCACUGUUGAAGAUCAAAAGUGGAAGACUGGCAAGGUAAGAUCAGAUAGCCAGAUGCAGUGGUGUGUGCCUGUGGUCCUAGCUACUUGGAAGGCUGAAGCAAAAGGAUCACUUAAGCUCAGGAGUUGUAAGAGAUGGAGACCAGCCUGAGCAACAUAUGGAGACACCGUCUCUAAAAAGGCAGAGGUUGGGGAUGUAUCCUUUUCUUGUUUAGGAGAUGCAGUAUGUUCUGUAGUACGUGUUACUAUGUUAGUAUCUGGUUCGCCUCUUGCACACACAAGGACAGACUGCAC